GACGGGGCCCGCACAAGCGGAGGAGCAUGUGGUUUAAUUCGAUGAUACGCGAGGAACCUUACCUGGGCUCGAACGUAAGAUGACUGUAGGUGAAAGCUUACAUCUCUUCGGAGCAUUUUUACGAGGUGCUGCAUGGUUGUCGUCAGCUCGUGCCGUGAGGUGUCGGGUUAAGUCCCAUAACGAGCGCAACCCUACCUUUAGUUGCCAUCAGGUAAUGCUGGGGACUCUAAAGGAACUGCCUACGCAAGUAGUGAGGAAGGCGGGGAUGACGUCAAAUCAGCACGGCCCUUACGUCCAGGGCUACACACGUGCUACAAUGGCCGAUACAGAGGGCAGCUACCUGGUGACAGGAUGCAAAUCUCCAAAGUCGGUCUCAGUUCGGAUCGGAGUCUGCAACCCGACUCCGUGAAGUUGGAUUCGCUAGUAAUCGCGCAUCAGCCAUGGCGCGGUGAAUACGUUCCCGGGCCUU
rnacentral:rRNA from 1 species